UUAAGGAGUGCAUUUGUGAGAUAAUUGUAGAUAUUAUUAAAAUAGUUAGUUCAGCAAAUAUGUUUCCUUAUUUUGAAAGCAGUCUAUGGACAAGGGCAGACUGCAAUCCACACUUUUAUUUGAUUAACUAGCCAGUUACAACAAAUGCUAAUAAGCAUUUUAGGACCAAAAAUAAAAAGACGUCCCUUUACCCCUUUCAGUAUGUUUUAAAUGUCAUGUCCAAAAUCAUCUCUUAAAUUGAUUGUUAGUCGAUGACUUGGUUUUACAUUAUUUUGCAAUGAUUAUGGCAUGAUUUAAUGGGAUACUUAGGCCUUUUGGCAAUGAGGCCCUUUAUCUACUUCCCCAGAGUCAGAUGAACUUGUAGAUACACUUUUUAUGUCUCUGUGUCCAUCUAGUAUGAAGGAAGUUAGAGGUUGUUUCGCGAGCUGGAAGUCUAUGGGUAUCGACCCAUGAGAGGUUGACUUGAAAGUAGUGCCAACUCUCAUUUGUUAGCAGUGGCUAGUUAAUCGAAACCAAAUUGUGGAUUACAGUUAGUUCUUAUUCACAUACUGCAUUCAAGGUAAGAAAACAACUAUCUAAAAAUGUAAUUACGCUGAACUAUCCCUUUAAUCUGUUCAGAAGUAGUUAACAUGCAGAUUUAUUUCCAGAGCACAUUUUGCUGUACAAACUUGAUAGGACAAUUAUUAUGUUAUUGAGCUGUAGAAUUUAAUAUAUCAUUUGUGUUAAACUGUUUUUCUAGUUAUUGUAAUAAAGUUCAAUUGUUAAUUACCUAGUAUUGUAGUUGAUCAGAGUUGUUAAAUUGCUUAACUAGUGAAAUUGCACAACUAUAACAAAUGCUGCCAAUUUGUGUACUCAAGAAAACGAAAAAGACAGUAAAAAAUAAGGAAACUCAACUUGCUUUCACAUUAUGCAGGGAAAAUGGGAUAACACAGCUCAAACAGAGAAGGGCUGCUUGAAUUGGGUUUGAACAGCAUUUUGUAAAAAUCAUUACUUACUGUAUGUGAUCUUUAUUAAACUUUACAAUACCCCUUUUUAGGAGACCAACAGCUACUUAUUGAGAACGGAGGAAAAGAAAUGAUGGAAGCUUAAAGUCAUCAGGAACAGCAUUUAUUGGACAGGUUAUAAAGCUUUGGCGUAUUCCCCUGUGGAUGGGAGUUGACGGAAUACAAGAUUACGUGAAUAUGUUGCUUCAUAGCAUCUUUUUCUUAGGUCACAUUCAUCAGGCCAGUCUUCUUCCAAAUGCCUUCUUUGAGUCUCCAGAGGGUAGGCUUGUGAUGUACGAUUUAGAAAGAAGAUUUCCACAGGCAUUCCACAAUUACAAGGAUCCACCCCACCAGACUCCAUUUUCCAUUCUUCUGACUUUGGCUGUCAGGAUUUAUGGUCAUGAAGAUCAAAUAAAAUACUUUCUUCAACGUUUCCUGAAAGCAUUGACCUUGCCCACCAGAAGAAAAGGCGAGAGUAACUACACACACUACUACACUCUGGAGGCUACUGUCAUUGCUGUGUGCUACAACGAAACCAACGGAGUGAAGUACUAUGGAGCAUCCCUGUCCUGCAGAGGGGAGCGAGAAAAGAACUUUAUGAUCAAUUGGUCAUGUCUACAUGUGUGGCAUGACUAUGUGUCUUAUGCAGUGUUGUCAUUCAGACAUGAUGAACAGGGAAACGGUAUCAGAUUCCCUGUCACCGUAAAAUGCAGCGCAUUCUACAGGAAUCCCCAGACCAACUUUUAUGAAGACCGAAGGCCGUGCAAGAACUGUGGGGAUCUUUUCUCUCUCUCAAACCCUGAGAUGGACAGAAAUGACUUUCCCUACGGAAACUGUGCCGAAACGGAGUGCCUGAGUAAACUUAUUUUCAAUGAUCAGGAUGUCCUGAGCAAAAUGAUUUUGGGAUCCUACUACACAAGGGAAAAACUGAAUGGUCUUAGACAAAUGGCAGCAAAUGCUUUGGAACAUGGUCUUAAGGCAUAGGUCUACUUAGCACCCAUGAACAGUGUGCAUUUGGCCGUCAUUUGCAAACCAAGUGCAAACUGUGACUGUGUAAACUUCUAUUAUGUGAUCAGGAUGUCUGCAGCAAUAUGAGUUUUGUACACUACACAAGAGAAAAUGUCUUAGAAAAAUGAUAGAAAAAGCUUUUGAACAUUUAGGUUUUGUUCCACACAGGUUUUAUACAUGGUGUUUUUGCUGUGUUUGACUUGGAAGUUUCCUCUGAAACUACAAGAACAAUGGUGUUCUUUAAUCACUCAACUGUGAUUAAGGCAAGUAAAUGGUUUCUGCCAUUGAGCGUUGUGAAUUACAGCUCGGACAAACAAUAUAAUUAUUACCACUAACAACAAGACAUAGAAAGCAGCAACUUUGGGAAUACAUUUUGAAGUUGUUUUACUUUUUGGUUUGGUCUUUGUGUUUGGUUGUUUAUUUUUAUUUAUUUAUAUUGGGGGAUGUUUAAUUGUAAUAAGCUAUCAACUUUGUCCCUUAUCAAAUAGUCUGCCAUGUGCUUUGUGUCACAGUGGAAAAUGAAUGAAAUGAAAAUGAACACAUUUCUGAUGUGACAGGAAACUGCAGAAAGGGUGUGACACUGAACUUGUUUGAAUGCAGACCAUUCAGUGAAACCACAGCUAAAACAGCAGACUAAAACAACAGACAGCAUGAUCAAUACCUAAAAUGAUGUUACUUUAUGACACAAACUUAUCUUGUAAAUAUUUUGAAUCCAUCAAUAAAUUAGAAUUCUUAAAGGUUGGUUGUAUGUUUUAUAGUUUCCUUCCAGUUUGCUGCUAUAACUUGGACCAGAUCUCUCUGGCAAAAUACAUUUUUAUCUCAAAGUGAAAUAA